GGCGAGUUGUUCUUGGCUACA
rnacentral:miRNA from 2 species